CUUCUUCAUGUCUAAGAGAGAGAAACUGAUUUAGGGCUUCAAAAAGAGCUUGAGCCUCUGCCAUGGACACCGAAGACAGCCACUGUUCGUGCAGCUCCAUCCAGCAAUUUCCCGGUGGAAUAUCGAUAUACACACGCCACAUAACCUUCCAUCUCCCCAGAUUUGCUCGAAUCGGGGUUCCACCUUCUAAAACUCUGCAAUCCUGCUAAGGCUGUGGGUGGAGUUUUUUCCCCCCAAAAAUGGUGUGGUUGCGCGACUUCCAGAUUUGCCAUAGAACCGCGGCUAUCGUCUCCAAAUCUGCCUUGGGUGUUCCCAAACAUCCUUCGUCCAAGGGCAUAACAGAAACAGAUGCUCAACAGUUUCCACCCUUUGAUUGCACAGAGAGCAUAUUGGGUCGGGUACAAUCUUUCUGCGAAAUAAGUUAUCCUGUGUUGGGAGUGCGUUUUGGCAUAGAUUCCACAUAAAUAUUCUGACUUUGGGAGGAGUAUGUAGAUUCCAUAUAUCUGUCCAUAGAGUACGAGGGGGUUGGAAUGAUGUUGACGCAUGGCUUCUGUUCUCUUUUGCCCCUUUCACUCGGAUGUAGUUGUAUCCACUUUUAACAGUGUACUUACCUGCUUGUGUACCCGUCCAUAUGAGCUGGUCAUUCUCAGUUUGAGGCUUAAUUGGGAUUGCGAGAACUUCACGUA